rnacentral:rRNA from 1 species
CGAGAAGUGGACUGCACUAGAAGCCGGUGAGCCAACCGCAAGGAGGCAGCCGUCCAAGGUAUGGUUCAUGAUUGGGGUG